rnacentral:rRNA from 1 species
CUACGGGACGCAGCAGGCGAGAAAACUUUGCAAUGUGCGAAAGCACGACAAGGUUAAUCCGAGUGGUUUGUGCUAAACGAACCUUUUGACAGUCCUAGAAACACUGUUGAAUAAGGGGUGGGCAAGUUCUGGUGUCAGCCGCCGCGGUAAAACCAGCACCUCAAGUGGUCAGGAUGAUUAUUGGGCCUAAAGCAUCCGUAGCCGGCUCUGUAAGUUUUCGGUUAAAUCUGUACGCUCAACGUACAGGCUGCCGGGAAUACUGCAGAGCUAGGGAGCGGGAGAGGUAGACGGUACUCGGUAGGAAGGGGUAAAAUCCUUUGAUCUAUUGAUGACCACCUGUGGCGAAGGCGGUCUACCAGAACACGUCCGACGGUGAGGGAUGAAAGCUGGGGGAGCAAACCGGAUUAGAUACCCCAGUAGUC